GACGAACGCUGGCGGCGUGCUUAACACAUGCAAGUCGAACGGAAAGGCCCUGCUUGCAGGGUACUCGAGUGGCGAACGGGUGAGUAACACGUGGGUGAUUGGCCCUGCACUUCGGGAUAAGCCUGGGAAACGGGGCCUAUUACCGGAAAUUACCUUCCAUGUAGGGUGGGGGGCGGAAGGAUUUAUCGGUGUGGGAGGAGCUCGCGGCCUAUCAGCUGGUUGGUGGGGUAAGGGCCUACAAGGGCGUCGGCGGGUAGCCGGCAUGGGAGGGUGGACGGCCACCUUGCGCCUGCGGUAGGGACCAGUCUCCUACGGUGGGCAGCAGUCGGGAGCAUUGCCCAGUGGGCGCGCGCCUGUUGCGACGGUCCCGCGUGUGUGAUGACGGCCUUCGGGUUGUAAACCUCUUUCGACUGAGACCAAGCUUCGGUGACGGUACCUGUAUAAUAAGCACCGGCUAACUACGUG
rnacentral:rRNA from 1 species